UACGUAGGGGGCAAGCGUUGUCCGGAUUUACUGGGCGUAAAGAGCGCGCAGGCGGUCGUUCAAGUCGCGUGUGAAAGCCCCCGGCUCAACUGGGGAGGGUCACGCGAUACUGAUCGACUGGAAGGCAGGAGAGGGUAGUGGAAUUCCCGGUGUAGUGGUGAAAUGCGUAGAUAUCGGGAGGAACACCAGUGGCGAAGGCGACUACCUGGCCUGUUCUUGACGCUGAGGCGCGAAAGCAUGGGGAGCGAACAGG
rnacentral:rRNA from 1 species